AACGAACGCUGGCGGCGUGCUUAACACAUGCAAGUCUUACGGGAAAGUCCUCUUCGGGGGGCGAGUAGCGUGGCGAACGGGUGAGUAACACGUGGGUAACCUGCCCUCGGGACCGGGACAACCCGCCGAAAGGCGGUGUAAUACCGGAUAAGACCACAGCCUGCCCGCAGGCAGUGGGAAAAGAUGGCCUCUCCUUGGAAGCUAUCACCUGAGGAUGAGCCCGCGGCCUAUUAGCUUGUUGGUAGGGUAACGGCCUACCAAGGCGACGAUGGGUAGCCGGCCUGAGAGGGUGUGCGGCCACACUGGCACUGAGACACGGGCCAGACUCCUACGGGAGGCAGCAGUGGGGAAUUUUGCGCAAUGGGGGAAACCCUGACGCAGCAACGCCGCGUGAGUGAUGAAGGCCUUCGGGUUGUAAAGCUCUU
rnacentral:rRNA from 1 species